rnacentral:rRNA from 1 species
GAUGAACGCUGGCGGCGUGCCUAAUACAUGCAAGUCGAGCGAACGGACGAGAAGCUUGCUUCUCUGAUGUUAGCGGCGGACGGGUGAGUAACACGUGGAUAACCUACCUAUAAGACUGGGAUAACUUCGGGAAACCGGAGCUAAUACCGUAUAAUAUUUUGAACCGCAUGGUUCAAAAGUUAAAGACGGUCUUGCUGUCACUUAUAGAUGGAUCCGCGCUGCAUUAGCUAGUUGGUAAGGUAACGGCUUACCAAGGCAACGAUGCAUAGCCGACCUGAGAGGGUGAUCGGCCACACUGGAACUGAGACACGGUCAAGACUCCUAAGGGAGGCAGCAGUAGGGAAUCUUCCGCAAUGGGAGAAAGCCUGACGGAGCAACGCCGCGUGAGUGAUGAAGGUCUUCGGAUCGUAAAACUCUGUUAUUAGGGAAGAACAUAUGUGUAAGUAACUGUGCACAUCUUGACGGUACCUAAUCAGAAAGCCACGGCUAACUACGUG